rnacentral:lncRNA from 1 species
UCCUCCUCCUUACAUUCUACAGGGACAGACGCUUCUCUUCCAACAUGCAUGGUAAGAAAACUGCAGACCGGGGGAGCUUCUACCAACGGAGACUGGCGUCUUCUAGAUCGCGAACUGCGGUUUCGACGUAAACACGAGGUCAUAGACCUCACUGGCAGCGACGACGACGAGUACUUCUGCACGCCGCCCAGCAUCCGACGCCGGCUCAACCCGCAGACUCCGCCAGUUGGGUACGAGGUACUAUCGCUAGCACCUCCAGGUAUUUUAUUUUUAAUACUCGAAAAUAUCUAUCUUUCUAACCGCAUGGUUCUCUAUAUUUUAUUUUUUUGCGUCAAAUGUUAAUCUAGGUUUCUUUUCGUUUUAUCUACUAUUCUUAAAUCUCCAGCCGCAUGUUUCUCUGUUUUUCUAUCUACUCUUCGUUUGCCAUCUCUUAUUUUGUGUCAUUUUUUUGUUGAAGUUGUGUGUCGUCUUCACGUUUUGCCGAAGUUAGUCAUACUUGUCUC